rnacentral:rRNA from 1 species
AUUGAACGCUGGCGGAAUGCUUUACACAUGCAAGUCGAACGGCAGCACGGACUUCGGUCUGGUGGCGAGUGGCGAACGGGUGAGUAAUGUAUCGGAACGUGCCCAGUCGUGGGGGAUAACGUAGUGAAAAUUACGCUAAUACCGCAUACGAUCUAUGGAUGAAAGCGGGGGAUCGCAAGACCUCGCGCGAUUGGAGCGGCCGAUAUCAGAUUAGGUAGUUGGGGGGGUAAAGGCCCACCAAGCCAACGGUCUGUAGCUGGUCUGAGAGGACGACCAGCCGCACUGGAACUGAGACGCGGGGCAGACUCCGACGGGAGGCAGCAGUGGGGAAUUUUGGACAAUAGGCGAAAGCCUGAUCGAGCCAUUCCGCGUGCAGGAUGAAGGCCCUCGGGUUGUAAACUGCUUUUGUACAGAACGAAAAGGUUUCUACUAAUACUAGGAGCUCAUGACGGUACUGUAAGAAUAAGCACCGGCUAACUACGUGCCAGCCGCCGCCGUAA